rnacentral:lncRNA from 1 species
UCGGUUCGGAGCCACCGCUGGACGAAAAGCCCCGCUGAUGAACGGUCGGGGGAGGAUGGUGGGCUGACGCCCGGGGAGAUGGGAAGUCAGCCCUGCCGGCUCAGGGGGCUGAACGCGCACCCCGGGCCUGGAGGACCCCGCUACCGGGGCGCCCUUCCCUCUGCGGCCGGGCCGCGCCGCACCCCGGUCCUGCUGUGAGUCCCUGGGGCGUUCCCGGAGUUUCCACCCCGCCGCUGUCACGUUAGAUGAGCAGGUCCCAGGACAUCUGGAGUCACCCGAGAAUUGCCACCAGAUGCUUCAAGGAUUUUGUCCACUGAGGGAUGGGGUCUCCACAGGAUGGCACCUCUGCAGCUAAGGCUACCAGAAAGAAAAGGUUUUGUCUGACCACCCCGGCUUCUUGGAAACCGGCAAUCAAAGAUUCUGCGGCCGAUGUGUAGCUCCGCGAUCAGGGCAGGUGGCCCUUGCCAGGCCUGCGUGGGGCCUCGGACGAGGAGAAGGCUCCCGCGGAGGCUUUGUAUUCUCCAUGCGGCAGGACGGCAGAGAGCCCUCGCUACUCCCAGCCCCCAGGCCACAGCCGCCCAAGGCCGCCCGCGCUGGACCUCUGCAGGCCACUCGCCACUCCCGGGGACCUCCCCGCCCUCCUCCAGCCCUGGCGCUCUGGAAUUCCCGGGAAUCUCUCCUCCCCGACCAUGACUUUGCCGGCUGUCACAGGAACAUUCUUCCUGUUGCUCACACAGCAGAAAUACUAGGUGUGCUAGGAGAGAUGGGUCCCAGGUCAUGCUGGUUUUUUUUCCCUUUUCUUUUUAAAUCUUGUUAUUGUGAAAUUUUAGACGUAUAGAAGAGCUAGAAAAAUACUGCGGAGUUUUCCUGUAGAGCCGUCUCCCCCACGACCCCCAAGUACCGGCUUAGGUAGCCAUGAUGUGUCUAUUAAAACCAAGACAUUAACCCGAGUACAACAAUAUUAACUGAACUACAGGCUCCAGGUGGGUUCCCACUGGCCCCCACGUCCUUGCCCUCUCCUAGGGCCCGCAGGG